AUGGUAUAGCACGCUGCAACACAGAACCUUUUAAAGGACAAGUCUCCGUGGAUAUCGGAGAUGACAGACUACAUAAGAAGUCGACUGAGAUAGACUAAUGAGCGUCCGACGGAACCAUGUGUGGAAUUUCUGGAUCCCGCAGUGGCGUUUGACAGACGAGCUGAGUGAAUGUUCCAGCAGUGAUGGAGGAACCCCGGUUACUGCUGGAGGUGGAGGAAGGGGGAACGCUGUGCAUUGCAUAUUAAGGCAAUUUGUUGCUCAGACCUUCAGAAAUGACUGGUUUUAAACAAGGAAAUGCACAGAAAUAUUUUGAAUAGGUUCAGUCAUAACCAAGUCGGAUCACUUCAAGAAGGAAUCAUAAAAUCUUGACAAGCUUCGAUUUAAAGCGGAAUAUUUUACACAAUGCCGCAGGCAAUCUCGCCUGUGGCCCUGAAUGAAGACGUGAGCUCUUCUGAAUAUACCGCGAAGGUGCUACUGGAUUUCACUUUGCCUGGCGGCCGCUCCCUGUUAUGGAAUAAUAAUAUCGAAUAAUAGAGUAGUCAUUUUGCUAACACAUAAUAUUCCCAAAGACUUACAAUGCAAUUCCGUGUCAGCCAGGUCCUCGCAUAACAGCAGCCACCAUCCGUCACUCCUCUGUCAUGCGACAGAAAAACGGUUCUCCGCUGCCAUUUUAUGUUUCCAAAAAUUACAGUCACAGCACUUUACCAAGAAAGUGUUUUCUAUAAACUUGUCAAGGUGAGUUCUGACUUCCUGCUACCUCUGACAAGGUCUUCACUCAAUGCAAAUCUCCCCGCUCUGCAUCCUGUCUCUGCAACACUUAUCUGCAUCAAACAUGUCUGCUGACAUCAUUUUCCUAAUUCUAUUAUCUAUCAGCCACAACACGGCUGCCGGGCUCUGCAAGCCACAAGAUAUCAGAGCAGUCCAGGCCAGCCGCCCCUGUUUACAGAUGGAUUUCCCUCAUGGUGUGAUAUUAGAUGACCCCAUUUGAAGUAUAAACAGAGGAUGCGGCCAGACUGCACUCACAGGACUGGAAUAUGGUUUAUUUUGUGUAUCAUCACUAAGUGCUGCUAAUUACAACAGGACUUUCUCUUUCUGCCUUAAAUAUUUUGUCAGCAUUAAAAAAACAAUUUUCGGGGACAUUGAGCACAUACGGGACUGGGAAGGCAGAGGAGCAUGGGGGCUCCUUGGCAUCUGGGGCAAAUGCAUAUACAGUAGUGAUGUCCUCCCCACCCCCACGGUGCAGAAGUAUUCCCUGUGGGGAUGGGUGAGUAAAAAAAAAAAAUCACAACAGGGCAGGACUGUGGAUGUAUAACAGCCCUGUCAUAUUAUUGUGUGCACGUAAAAAUAGGAGGCGUGGUCCUGCCUCACGAGGGCAUACCACAAGUUACUGGGGCCUGGCAUGGCGGCACGUCUCCCUCCAUCUCUCUGCGGUAUGCUGGGCAGCCGAGCAGAGCGUUGGGAGGUGGAGCUGCACAGCCCCUGUCUAUGUGAGCUGGGCUGCUGAGAAGUGUGAUCAGACAGACCCUGAUUUUUCUGUGUGGCAGGACCAGCCCCUCAGGCCGUCGAUUCCUCUGGCAUUUGCCAGAAGUGACUGAUGGGGAGGUCAUCCCUGCAUCAGGGAUAGUGUCUCACUGGGACUUGAAAGGCUCAAUUGGAAAUGUAAUAGUAGGAGCCCCCAAAAUAGUGCAUGUUCAACGGGCAGAAGGGUCAUGGCUAACCUUAUUAGAACAUAGAAGCACGCAGGUAGAGUAGCUUUUAGGUGGAUACUCUGCAUGGCUGUCAAAUUUUUCCCUGGGGCAAACACACAGCACUGGACAUGACUGGUGGCCCUUCCCGGACUAUGCA